rnacentral:sRNA from 1 species
GGUGAACCUGCGGAAGGAUCAUUGCACACACAAAGUUGCAGCAAACCCCUUUGCGAACCUCGUGAACGUCCCCCUGGCCGGUUGGGGCGUCGCCACUUUGCAAAUCGUGGCGGCGUUCUGGCUGGCCAACCCAGGUUCUCCUCUGGGCGACUUGGGGCUCCCUCCCUCCCUCGGGAGUGCGAGUCUCGGUGAYCCCAAAGGAGGGCUUGGUAAACACAACCGAUUGCGCAAUGCAUCAACACUUUCAACAUGACUGAGUACAAAGACCGAGGGGGGCAUUUCGGUGCGCCCCUCCGAGUUGUAAUAUAAACAAAAACAACUNUCAGCAACGGAUAUCUUGGUUCUUGCAACGAUGAAGAACGCAGCGAAAUGCGAUACGUAGUGUGAAUUGCAGAAUUCCGCGAAUCAUCGAGUCUUUGAACGCAAGUUGCNCCCGAGGCUUGACCAAGGGCAUUCCUGCCAGAGCGUCACCGCGACACCCACCAAUCCACCUCCAAUGAAUGUGAGCGCGGAUUGAGUGAAAGUGGCCAUCCGAAUGAGGCCAUCCCUCUCGGGGUGGCGCAGAUUGGGUUGGCUGAAAUGGAGGGAAUUUGGCCGCCGUGGUGACACAGCCCGCGAUCAGGUGAUCCGAGCCCCGUCUCGGAACUCAAAUGUGCGCCGGUUGUGCCUCCCAGUUGGCAGCUCGGAUUCCGAAGCAGGUCCCUCCCGGCANGGCGCCUCCCGAAAGGGGGGUUGCUGCCGGGAGGAAGAACGUCACGCAUCAGACCU